rnacentral:misc_RNA from 1 species
CAAGUUGCAUUGUUGUUCGUUUGUGAGCUCUGGGUACCGCGCACGUUCAGGAUCAGUCAUGGCGCUCCGCCAGAUUUUUGCUCGAACUUGGACACACGGAAAAUUUCCAGGGUUUAGAUCAGUGUACGAUGAGCGAUUGACAGACGUUGCCAGAGCGAGAGGUGCCUUGUUUUGCCAAUUGCGAUCUCUGACCUCGGAUGAAUCAUCCUCCGAAGAGAAACUUGCUGCAGAUGCUGCCCGCCGACACAAUCGGGAUAAACCCAACGUCUUCCAAAAGAUCAUCAGUGGGGAUAUCCAGGCUGAUACAAUCUAUGAAGAUGAGCAGUGCAUGGCAUUUCGGGACGUCAAUCCAGUGGCACCAACUCACAUCAUUGUCAUCCCGCGCAAGCCAAUUCCUUGCCUGAGUGAAUCCACUGAUUCCGAUGCUCCUCUUCUUGGACAUCUAAUGACUGUGGCACGUAAAGUAGCUGCCCUGGAAGAACUGAAGGAUGGUUUCAGGAUCGUGAUGAAUGACGGUCGCCAUGGUUCCCAAUCCAUCUACCACCUCCAUGUCCAUGUUAUUGGAGGACGACAGAUGCGCUGGCCACCAGGCUAACGAGUGACGACCAGGCUAGAGGGUUUCUUCAAGACUGAGCAAUCGUAGAGGCAGAGUGGCAACAUAUAUAAUGAGAUGUGAUUUGGGUUAUUAUUCAAACUGAUGAUUGCCAGCAAACAAAAUAUUCUUCAAAGUACUAUAGGCCCUGUGCAUGAGCUUUUUUGUGCGCUGUGGGCAGACGCAUGAAGUCAAGUUCUACACAUGAACACUGUGUAACAUUCAACAACUGAUUUUCAGCAGAAUGUGCACAAACCUUCAGCCAAUUCAUGUGUUAAAGAAUGUGCACAGCGUACAUGCUUGCAAAGUAUUUUUUUUCUUUUGAGUGCAUUUUCCCCAUUUUCCAGUACCCUAGGUGCAUUCUUUACCUACAAGUCCUCAGUAAUAUUUAUUAUUUCCGGUCUUUUUGCAUCUGGUUUCAUUUGAUGAACCAAAGCCAUCAUUGUCAGGUUAACAAACUCAUCCCAGUGUAUUAUGCGAUAAAGAAUUGGGUUUGUUUGUUUUUAAAGUAUUUUUUUGCAAGGACAUGGUUAGUAAGUAUACCUUAUUAAUGUUUACAUGUUUUGACCCAUUCAGAUGGUGUGCAUGCAUGUAUUGGUAACCAGGCAACAAAUUGUUUUAACUCUCACAAAUCAACGUCAGGCACUGCAUAUUUUGUGAAAUCAAUUAUUUCACAGUUGUUCAGUAUUUGUAAUUUUUUGGCAAAAACGUUGCAUGGCUUCACUGUGAUGCCCUUCCUAAAAAAAAUGCAGUUUGCUCUACAUUACAGUGAGACCUCACCACAUUUUGGUAAAAGCCCUCAAAAUAUUAACAGAUAACAAUAGAAGUCCUGAGUUCACAAAGUUCAAGUACGUGUCGUGGUAGUCAAGCCAGGGAGGGUUCUGGCAGAGAUGAUAGCAUGAAUGCACGAAUCGACUUGAGCACACCCACGCAACAGAUUUGAGUUUGACUUGAGUUCACAUCAUGGACUUAGGGCCCAUGGUACUCAUGCAGUUUCUGAGCAUUCAAUUUAUGAUGCGGCAAAUAAGGGGUAUGCGUACUUCAGAUAAAUCACUUCAUGAUGAGACUGUGGAGAUUGUAGUUCCCCUUUUGACUCACCUCAUUUCCUUUCAUUUUGUUGAUGUAUUACCAUUGAAACAUUGAAGACAUGCAGAAAGUCUUAUGAAUGUUGAAUUUCCUUUCUUUUCUCAAUUGAGUGACAAGUAUCCAAAUUUCUGUUAAAAGAGAAAGAAAAAUGGAAAAUUAUGUCUAAUGUAUUGUAAUGCAACUACUACUACAGUUGCAUCUUGUUAAAAAUUAACGAAAAAAAACGAUGUGAUAGGUUGUCUGCCACUUCACAUUUACCCACCCUGUCUAUGGAAUAUGAAAAGAUACCACCUAUACAGGCAUUUGUGGUGAAGCACCACUGAUCUAGAGUCUCUUUGAUGGUGGGUUGUCCGGUUCCAAGCAGUCCAAAUAGUAUGUCCUGUUUGUCAUGAGGAGACUUGUCCAUGAACCCUUCAAGUCACAUUCACCAGUAAAUCCAAUCCAUUUCUCGUCACUGCAUUCAAACAAGUUUGGUGAUUAUCAUAUUAACAACUGUCCCUUGCAAUAUGAAAGUGCAUGUGUCGCUAAAGUAUAGUUCUAAGGAGUUUGAAGUCAGUGAUGUGUAAUGAAGUGUCAGAUGUGAUUAUUUUUAAGAAUAAACUUUGAAAGUCUA